GCAUUCUGGGUAACAUAGUAAGUUAUCUUCCAUUUGUUUACGCAAUUGUUGUGCGGAGGAGAUGUAGGGGAACUGUAAGUAACGCCCGUUAUUUUAUCAUUCUGACUACAUCACAUGGUGUACAAGUUUAAUACAUGUAAACUACUUCAGUGCAAUUCCAGACUAACUCGUCAUUAGCAGUGGAUAAGAUCCCCAAAUGUGGGAAUUACCCCAGAGCAUUCGUAAAUGAGUCGGGACGACUACGGUCUGGAGGCGAGAAAGGAAAGAUUACAUUAUUCAAUACCCCGUCCAGUUAUUGGCAGUAAUGCACCAUUGACAUUGGAUGCCAACCGCUGUUAAAUACGAUCGAAGAAGAAUAUAAGAUAACAUGUUCGUAUAGCAAUUGUGUCAUUCGAAGUUCAAUAUGCUUGGCUAGACUCUAGUUGGUUGAUAAACGAGGUAAGUAGAGAAUGAGCGAAGAGGCUGUUUCGUUACAGCAUUGGACCAGCUGGGACACAGAGCCGGUCAGAGGAUGAGGAGUCGACUGGGAUAAAAUACAUAAAAAGAACAGCAACACAGGCUUUCGUUGGGGGUGGCGGUGUUGUGCCCAAACGCAGGAGAUCUUCAAGAGCAGUCAGCCCAAGCUGGAGGUGUUCCAGGAGAUGCUGAGUAAGCACCCCAGUGUGUUCUAUCCCUCCCACACUCCCAAGAGCUUGUUGGUGCACUGGCAGCUACUCAAACAGUACUAUCUGCUGGAGGACCAGAGUGUUCAACCUCUCCCUAAAGGAAACUAACUUCUCUGAUGCUGAGCAGCUGGUGGAUGAUGCUAAGCUUCCCUGAGAUCACCCUGGGCAGAGCCACCAAGGACAAGCAGAUCGAUGUAGAUCUGUCUCUGGAAGGACCUGCCUGGAAGAUCUCCAGGAAACAAGGGAUCAUUAAACUAAAGAACAACGGAGACUUCUUCAUAGCCAACGAAGGCCGCAGGCCCAUCUACAUAGACGGCAGACCAGUCUUGUCUGGCUACACGUGGAAACUCACAAUAACACAAUAACUCCAUCCUCUGUGGUGGAGAUUGCCGGUCUUCGUUUUGUAUUCCUGAUCAACCAGCAGCUGAUCUCACUCAUCAAGGCAGAAGCAGCUAAGAUGAACCAGCAGUGAGAGAGAGGUAGAGCUGUGCUUCCUCAGUGGAGCAGAGGCCAAGGCACAUGCCUUUGUCUACUGCCCAGCCAGCUCCUACAUACAGAGCAAUGAGGUCCACAUGAAGGAACCCAGAACCCCUUUGGUCAUGGUUAUACAGUGGCGUAAGAGCAGGACACCCACACACUGAGAAUGGUUGUGAUAUUUGGUAACCUUUCCACUGCUGGGUAUCUUAAGGUGAAUCUUAUCUCAAAGACCCUCAAUUAUACUUUCAAAACUACAGGACCAUAACUCCAGUUUAGUCGUGUUUAAAUUGGCAUUCAUAUCAUGAGGUUCCACAGUGCAUAUAAGACAAUGAAUUGGUUUUAAUUCUGUUUUUCAAUUUUUUUCCCCCAUACAGAUUGGUUUAGGUUGAGCUGAUACAUGCAAAAAUGCAUUUAGGACCAGGAUAGGGAAUCACUUGAAAAGGGAUAUUGUGUAUGUAUGUACAGUUGAAGUCGGAAGUUUACAUACACUUUAGCCAAAUACAUUUAAUACUAGUAAAAAUUCCCUGUCUUAGGUCAGUUAGGAU